AGAAAGCGGAAAAGGAUACAUCAAAACUAGCAAUGGAUGAAUGAGAACAUGUCCAGCCUCCAGUUAAGGCAACUGUGGCUUCAAAAAGGAAUCUUAAAUACCAGCACAGAAAUCAGAGGGAUCCUAACCUGGCUCAAAACAGAAGAGAAACAGUGGCUGGCCAUACAGCAGGACGGGCAUAACUAACAGAAUACCAGCUUUCCAGCCAUUGUUUCAUCCCUCAGCGAUACCACCUGCUUCCGCGUGGAACCCAAACCCCCAGGAAACUAAAUCUGCUCAGGUCACCCACCUAGGAAUAAAUAAAAACAGGUUUCAGGCCCUUUGUCCUUUGUAAA